GAUAAACGCUGGCGGCGUGCUUAACACAUGCAAGUCGAACGAAGUUUUUCUUUCUUGGUAGACUUCUUGACUGACGGGUGAGUAACUCGUGGGUAACCUGCCCUCUCUAGAGUGACAACAGCUUUCAACGGCUUCUAAUUCCGCCUAAGCACUUAGCACUGCAUCGUGCAUAGGGUAAAGGAGCAAUCCGGUACAGGAUUGACCCGCCUCUGAUUCGCCUGUUGGCAGGGUAACUGCCUAGCAAAGCGACGAUCAGUAGCCGAUCGGAGAGGAUGUACGGGCAGAAUGGGAAUGAGACACGGACCAGAAUCCGAGGGAAGGGAGGAGAGGGGAAUAUAGCACAAUGGAGGAAACUCUGAUGAAGCGACGCCGGGUGAGAGAAGAAGUAGUUCGGUAAGUAAAGCUGUAUCAGAAGAGAAGAAAAUGACGGUACCUGAUUAAGAAGCACCGGCUAAAUACGUG
rnacentral:rRNA from 1 species